AUACAUGCAGUCGAGCGGAGAUUUGAAAAGCUUGCUUUUCAAAUCUUAGCGGCGGACGGGUGAGUAACACGUGGGCAACCUGCCCUUGAGACGGGGAUAACUCCGGGAAACCGGAGCUAAUACCGGAUAACACAUAUCUUCGCAUGAGGAUAUGUUAGAAGGUGGCUUUUAGCUACCACUCAAGGAUGGGCCCGCGGCGCAUUAGCUAGUUGGUGAGGUAACGGCUCACCAAGGCGACGAUGCGUAGCCAACCUGAGAGGGUGAUCGGCCACACUGGGACUGAGACACGGCCCAGACUCCUACGGGAGGCAGCAGUAGGGAAUCUUCCGCAAUGGACGAAAGUCUGACGGAGCAACGCCGCGUGAGUGAUGAAGGUUUUCGGAUCGUAAAGCUCUGUUGUUAGGGAAGAACAAGUACCUGUUAAAUAAGCAGGUACCUUGACGGUACCUAACCAGAAAGCCACGGCUAACUACGUGCCAGCAGCCGCGGUAAUACGUAGGUGGCAAGCGUUGUCCGGAAUUAUUGGGCGUAAAGCGCGCGCAGGCGGUUCCUUAAGUCUGAUGUGAAAGCCCACGGCUCAACCGUGGAGGGUCAUUGGAAACUGGGGAACUUGAGUGCAGAAGAGGAGAGCGGAAUUCCACGUGUAGCGGUGAAAUGCGUAGAGAUGUGGAGGAACACCAGUGGCGAAGGCGGCUCUCUGGUCUGUAACUGACGCUGAGGCGCGAAAGCGUGGGGAGCGAACAGGAUUAGAUACCCUGGUAGUCCACGCCGUAAACGAUGAGUGCUAAGUGUUAGAGGGUUUCCGCCCUUUAGUGCUGCAGCAAACGCAUUAAGCACUCCGCCUGGGGAGUACGGUCGCAAGACUGAAACUCAAAGGAAUUGACGGGGGACCCGCACAAGCGGUGGAGCAUGUGGUUUAAUUCGAAGCAACGCGAAGAACCUUACCAGGUCUUGACAUCCUCUGCUACUUCUAGAGAUAGAAGGUUCCCUUCGGGGACAGAGUGACAGGUGGUGCAUGNUUGUCGUCAGCUCGUGUCGUGAGAUGUUGGGUUAAGUCCCGCAACAAGCGCAACCCUUGAUCUUAGUUGCCAGCAUUCAGUUGGGGCCUUCUAAGGUGACUGGCCGGUGACAAACCGGAAGGAAGGUGGGGGAUGACGUUCAAAUCAUCAUGGCCCCUUAAUGACCUGGGGCUACNCACCUGGCUACAAUGGGAUGGGUACAAAAGGGCUUGCAAAACCGGGGAAGGUCGAGGCCAUUCCCCUAAAAACCAUUUUUCAGUUCCCGAAUUGUAGGGNUGGCAACUCCCCCUCACUUGAAAGCCCGGAAUUCCUUUAAAAAAUCCGGGGAUUCNAAAUUGCCCGCGGGGAAAAAACAUUUUCCGNGGNNC
rnacentral:rRNA from 2 species